UCUGCUGGUUUGUAUAUCCAGAGGGCUGCUGCAAAAAUUGUUGUGCUAGCCGAUGGCUUAGACCACAUAAUUCCUCCCCACGCUCCUCCCUGGCACCUUCUUUUUUCUGCCCCAGUUGCGGACUGUUCACCUGCCAUCUCCCAGCCCUUCAUUAUCCGCCUCCUCCGCCCAUCGGCUCCCGUGCUACAGAGGCCGCCUCCACCUCCGUCGCCCAUUCCCAACGAGCCCCUUCACGCUCUGUCCCGCGCGGCGCCACACGCGGGAGAGGCGCCCCCUGAGCACCCGCAAAGCCACCGCGCCGCCCCCCCGCAGCUCACGGCAUCUGCGGAGAUCCUCACGGCCCCCGCGGGCUCCCGGCUCCCGCCGCUGCCCGGAGCCCCGGCCGGGCCGCUGGACGGCGCCAGCAGGACGCGGCCGUCACCUGGCGGUGGGAGCCGGGCCGGUGGCUGCGGGAACGCGCCGGUGCCGGUGCCGGGCCGGGCGCCGGCAGCCCUCGGGAGCGCGCGUUGCCCGGCCGGACCCCACGGCGACACCCGGGCGGUGGGAGCGGGCGGGGCCGGUGGGGCAGAGUCCCCCGCGCGUGCACAUCACCGGCUCGGGGGCAGCGGCCCCUCCAGCGGGGCCAUCAGACACCGGCGGGGCUCGGCCCGGGCGGGCGGGGCCAGGCGGAUCGGACCUCGCCGCCCCGCCCGGGGCACCUGGUCGGCGCCUCCACGGGCCGGAGCAGAGCCCCCGCCGACGCUCCGGCACCCGCCCGCCCCGGGGGGCUACCGCCUGCCGGGGCAGGUCCCGGCCCCGGGCCCCUUCCCUUCCCUCGCCCGGGGCACAGGCCGGGGCGUGCUGGCAGCCCCGUCCCCCAGAGCCGAGGCGGCGGGUGGGACCCCCGGGGCGGGGCGGAGCGGGGGGCGCGGGGCCGGGCCGGGGGCGCCCCCUGGCGGGGGCAGGCGGUACAGAGCCGGGGCGGCCCCGCCGCUCUCUGCGCACGUGCCGGGGCGGGGCGUCACGUGGUGA
rnacentral:lncRNA from 1 species